GACGGAGGGUGCAAGCGUUGUUCGGAAUCACUGGGCGUAAAGCGCGUGUAGGCGGUCCGAUUAGUCGAGUGUGAAAGCCCGAGGCUCAACCUCGGAAGCGCAUUCGAAACUGUCGGGCUUGAGUACGGGAGAGGGAAGUGGAAUUCCUGGUGUAGAGGUGAAAUUCGUAGAUAUCAGGAGGAACACCGGUGGCGAAGGCGGCUUCCUGGACCGAUACUGACGCUGAGACGCGAAAGCGUGGGGAGCAAACAGGAUUAGAUACUCUGGUAGUCCACGCCGUAAACUGUGAGCGCUAGGUGUAGCGGGUAUUGACCCCUGCUGUGCCGCAGCUAACGCAUUAAGCGCUCCGCCUGGGGAGUACGGCCGCAAGGUUAAA
rnacentral:rRNA from 1 species